CAGAGGUCCCGAGCGUUGUUCGGAUUCACUGGGCGUAAAGGGUGCGUAGGUGGUGAGGUAAGUCGGAUGUGAAAUCUCCAGGCUCAACCUGGAAACUGCAUUGGAAACUACCUUGCUGGAGGAUUUGAGGGGGGAUUGGAAUACUUGGUGUAGCAGUGAAAUGCGUAGAUAUCAAGCGGACACCAGUGGCGAAGGCGAAUCCCUGGAAAAUACCUGACACUGAGGCACGAAAGCUAGGGGAGCAAACAGGAUUAGAUACCCUGGUAGUCCUAGCCCUAAACGGUGCUUGCUUGCUGUAAGAGGAAUCGACCCCUCUUGUGGCGGAGCUAACGCGUUAAGCAAGCCGCCUGGGAAGUACGGUCGCAAGAUUA
rnacentral:rRNA from 1 species